UACAGAGGUGGCUAGCGUUGUUCGGAAUUACUGGGCGUAAAGGGCGCGUAGGCGGCCUGGUCAGUCCCGUGUGAAAUCCCUCGGCUCAACUGAGGAACUGCACGGGAAACUGCCUGGCUUGAGUUCGGGAGAGGGAAGCGGAAUUCCGGGUGUAGCGGUGAAAUGCGUAGAUAUCCGGAGGAACACCGGUGGCGAAGGCGGCUUCCUGGACCGACACUGACGCUGAGGCGCGAAAGCUAGGGGAGCAAACGGG
rnacentral:rRNA from 1 species